CCUACGGGAGGCAGCAGUGAGGAAUAUUGGUCAAUGGGCGCAAGUCUGAACCAGCCAUGCCGCGUGCAGGAAGACGGCUCUAUGAGUUGUAAACUGCUUUUGUACGGGGGUAAACGCAGAUACGCGUGUCUGUCUGAACGUAUCGUGCGAAUAAGGAUCGGCUAACUCCGUGCCCGCCGCCGCGGUAAUACGGAGGAUUCAAGCGUUAUCCGGAUUUAUUUGGGUUAAAGGGUGCGUAGGCGGUCGGAUAAGUUAGAGGUGAAAUCCCGAGGCUCAACUUCGGAAUUGCCUCUGAUACUGUUCGGCUAGAGAGUAGUUGAGGUAUGCGGAAUGUAUGGUGUAGCGGUGAAAUGCUUAGAGAUCAUACAGAACACCGAUUGCGAAGGCAGCUUACCAAGCUACUUCUGACGUUGAGGCACGAAAGCGUGGGGAGCAAACAGGAUUAGAUACCCCUGUAGUC
rnacentral:rRNA from 1 species